rnacentral:lncRNA from 1 species
GCGGACAGAAGCCUGUGUGGGGACUGGAGAACAAAGCCGGCCCAGCUACAUGCAGGGCAGGCCCUCACGCCUGGACUUUCAGAGCUGGAGUGCAGAAGGGCCCUCGGUCCCGGGAAGGGGCGGAGCCCAGGCCUCUCCACAGAUGUGGCUCCAGCCGGGAAGCCCCUCUCAGCCUCAGAGCCUGCGCUCCCUUUUCUCCCCUCACCAGGGCCCUCUCCUGCUUCCCCAUCACUGACUUUAGGAAGAACGAACUUCUACCUGCGCUGGCUUCCUUUCACUGCCCCACUCUUCACAGCAAAUGUUAACUGUGCAAAACUGCAUGUGGGCCUUUCGGAUGCUUACAUCCCAGAUGAGGAGGAGUUAGAAGGCAGCAGACCAGCCUGCAGCAGCUUCCUCCCAACUGACUCUCAAGACCAGACACCCUCAUCAGCCUCAUUUCUAGAGAGGAGAAGGAGGCCCAGAGAGGGCAAGUGGCCCACCCAAAGUCACACAGCAUUCCGGGGUGGGAACCCAGGCUUCCGCACUUUCUCGUUGGGAACCUCAUGGUGUGUGGUCUUCCAGAACAAGAAGCGAAGGGGCCCAAAGCUUCCCGCUCACCCUACCAGGGUGCUAGAAGCUGCUGCUUCCCCACAGAUGGAGUUUUUGCCACCCAGUCUGCCCCUCUCUCUAGUCAGAGUCUCCCCCAUCCGUGCAGGGAGCCCAGCAUGGCAGCAUUGCCAGCCAAAUUCACCUUUGUCUGGGAAGCACAGCUACGGCAGUCACACCGCCUGGCAUGGACUGCGUGCUCACCCCUUUCUAGAUCCGGUGCCAAGCAUCUUUCCUGAAAUAGCUCAUCAAGACUCAGAACAAGCCGGGGGGGGGGGCUGUCACUUGUCUCCCCCACCCAAUGGGGGAAUUGAGGCCUGAGAGGCCUGACGGCAGGUGCCAGGCUUCAUAGCUUGUCAGAGUGGCAUGAGGGGGUGACCGCGAGGGAGACUCUGUGGAAGUGAAGAGUAGCUGAGCGCCUGGGAAGGACACUAAGGCGGUGCCCGGGAACGGUCCCUCGGGGGCCACUCCGGGGAGAGGCGGCGGAAAGGUAAGAGCAACCCUGUGGUGGCUACGGACCAGAGCGCAGAUGACCCUUCGAGGCCACUGAGGCAUGGAGGUCUGCUCCAAUCGGAGAUGUAUUUUCAUAGAGAAGCCACGACCAGUUCCCGUACACCAGUUCUGGCCCCAAUUACCAGUACUGUCCUGCAGCCACUUCUGGGCCAGGCCUCCCUAUCGCUGUCAUGGCUGGGAGAAAGCAUGGGUGAGCUGGGCAGGAGUGAUGAUAGAGCAGGAAGGGCCCAGCCCCAUGUGCAGGCAGAGCUGGGGUAGAUCUCCCGCUGUCACCGCAGCCUUUGAAGCCCUGGCUGUGCUGGACGAUACUAGCUGGCUGAACUUGUCUCCCUUUUGACACCCAUGGAAGCUUGGAAACCCAGAAAAAAUCCUGGGAACAAGCGUGGGUCAGCAGUGCCCCAAAGUGUGGCCAAGAGGGUCUGGUGCCAGGGGGCUCUGAGGUUGGAGGGUCUGGAUCCAGCCUCAUAAGAGCCAUUUUGGCGGUGCAGCUUUGGCCCCAAGCCCCCACCAGGAAACCUCAGUCUGCACACGUCAGAGGAAUUAGGAGGCCUGUGGAGAGGAUUUUUACCAAUGGGGUGAAAGCUGAUAAGUGUGCCCCAGGAGUGGCUGCCUGCUGCCCCCCAGCUCAGGCACAGCUGGUG